rnacentral:rRNA from 1 species
AGAUUGAACGCUGGCGGCAGGCCUAACACAUGCAAGUCGAGCGGCAGCACGGGUACUUGUACCUGGUGGCGAGCGGCGGACGGGUGAGUAAUGCCUAGGAAUCUGCCUGGUAGUGGGGGAUAACGCUCGGAAACGGACGCUAAUACCGCAUACGUCCUACGGGAGAAAGCAGGGGACCUUCGGGCCUUGCGCUAUCAGAUGAGCCUAGGUCGGAUUAGCUAGUUGGUGAGGUAAUGGCUCACCAAGGCGACGAUCCGUAACUGGUCUGAGAGGAUGAUCAGUCACACUGGAACUGAGACACGGUCCAGACUCCUACGGGAGCAGCAGUGGGGAAUAUUGGACAAUGGGCGAAAGCCUGAUCCAAGCCAUGCCGCGUGUGUGAAGAAGGUCUUCGGAUUGUAAAGCACUUUAAGUGGAGGAAGGCAGUACCUAAUACGUAUCUGUUUGACGUUACCGACAGAAUAAGCACCGGCUAAACUCUGU